AACGAACGCUGGCGGCAUGCCUAACACAUGCAAGUCGAACGGGAUCCUGGCUUCGGCCAGGUGAGAGUGGCGGACGGGUGAGUAACGCGUGGGAACCUGCCCAUUGGUCUGGGAUAACUGCGGGAAACUGCAGCUAAUACCGGAUGUACCCGAGAGGGGAAAGAUUUAUCGCCGAUGGAGGGGCCCGCGUCAGAUUAGGUAGUUGGUGAGGUAACGGCUCACCAAGCCUACGAUCUGUAGCUGGUCUGAGAGGAUGAUCAGCCACACUGGGACUGAGAUACGGCCCAGACUCCUACGGGAGGCAGCAGUGGGGGAAUAUUGGACAAU
rnacentral:rRNA from 1 species